rnacentral:rRNA from 1 species
UGCAGAUCUUGGCUCAGAGCGAACGUUAGCGGCGCGCCUAACACAUGCAAGUCGCACGAGAAAGGGGGCAACCCCCGGUACAGUGGCGCACGGGUGAGUAACACGUGGGUGAUCUGCCCAGAAGAAGGGGAUAACCUCUCGAAAGGGGGGCUAAUACCGCAUAGGACCACCGGGGCUUUGGCUCUGUGGUGAAAGGGGGCCUCUGUUUACAAGCUCCUGCUUCUGGAUGAGCCCGCGUCCCAUCAGCUAGUUGGUAGGGUAAUGGCCUACCAAGGCUACGACGGGUAGCUGGUCUAAGAGGAUGGCCAGCCACACUGGAACUGAGACACGGUCCAGACUCCUACGGGAGGCAGCAGUGGGGAAUCUUGCGCAAUGGGCGAAAGCCUGACGCAGCGACGCCGCGUGGGUGACGAAGGCCUC